ACGUAAAAUGUCCACGUUGGUGCUCGCGGUGUGGUUCACAUGCCGCAGUUCAACGGGAAGCAGGGCGCAAAGCGUGUCGAACGCGUUGCCAACCUGCGCUGCCCCCGCAACGGUAAGCGGUCGAGGGCUGCGUCCUUCAUGGACCAGUCCUCCGUUUCAUCCAAGACAAGCCACUGGGCGCGUGACGAACAAGCGCGCCUGGGAAGGCGAUGAAAUCGCUCCGCCAGCCCGGAUACCGGCCAACAAGGUGGUGGUGCC
rnacentral:ncRNA from 1 species